UGUAUUUUUUUGUCACUGCUCUGUCUGGUCAAUUUUUUUAAGGGUUUGUUUGUUUUCAAUUAUUUUAAAGGUUGUAUACAGUGUGCACAUUGGUCUGUCAAUGUUAUUUAUCUAUUAUUUUUUCUAUUUUGUUUUGGGUAUUAAAUUGUUUUUAUAGCAAAUAUAGAGGCAGAACAGGUGAAAUGACAAUUGAAUGAGAGCAAAAUUCUUUUUCCAGGGCAAAGAGGAAUAGAUUGUUUAAUAUGGAUGGUUGAUUGAACCCUUCAAAUUUGACCACUUCAGAGGCUAUUCUUCUCUUAAUCUUCCAAUUUGUACAUGAUGUUUUAAUUUUAAUUUUUUCAUUUCUAAUAGAUUGCAACAAAAUGCUCAAAAACAAAUGGUGGUUUUCUUGGUUUUCUUUAUUCUUUUUAAUUCUUUUGGGUUGAGAUUCAUGAGAUGCAGAUAAUAAGAGAUGGGAAGUUCAUUAUGAUCACAAAUACGCAUGGGCAGUUCUGUUUUUUAAGGACUUCUCUUCCAGUUAAAAAUGUCUUCUCACUAAUCCAGAUGCAAAUUCGCUACAUAGGGAGGCAGGUGGAAAGGAUAAUUAUGCAAGAUAUAUUGUUUAUUUAGUCUCGUCUAGCCAAAUUCGUCAGGAUUCUAAGGUUCAUCUCCAUAGAUGUGAAUCAGCAGUUCAUUGACCUCAUAUGACGUUCAGCUGCAAUGUCCUAUUGGGCUUUUGGUCUCCUUAUUGGCAACAAAUGGUUGAUGCCAUUACCAUAUGCGGGGCGGGGUUCAAAGCCCCUAGUGAGAGUGAUUUGAGGGGACCCAUUUUGUCUCAAAUGGUGGAUGAUGUGAAGAAGGAUUUAGAUGAACAACGCCAGAUAUGGAGCACUAAAGGUUGCACCAUCAUGACUGAUGGUUGGAUGGAUAGGAGAAAUAGAACUCUCCUUAAUUUUCUUGUUUCUUCCGCAGGGGCACUGUUUUCAUCAAGUCCACUGAUGCCUCCGCCCAUUGCAAGAAUGCCACCUACCUAUGUGAGCAGAUAGAGAAGGUGAUUGAAGAUGUGGGUGAGGAGAACGUGGUACAGGUGGUGACCGACAAUGCAACAAAUUAUGUUGCUGCAGGUAGACUAUUGAUGGAGAGGCACCCAUCUAUAGUUUGGACUCCAUGUGUUGCUCAUUGCAUUGACCUCAUGCUGGAGGAUAUUGGAAAAAUCCCAAGGGUCAAGAGAUGUGUAGAAAGGGCAAGAAAUGUCUGCAAAUUUGUAUAUAAUCAUUCAUGGGUGUUGGCUCUUAUGAGACAAUACACAGAGCAGAAGGAGUUAGCUCGUCCAGGAAUCACAAGAUUUGCCACAAACUUCCUCACAUUGCAGUCCAUGCUUAGGUCUAAGUCUGCCUUGAGACAUAUGAUUGUUGGUGAGGAGUGGUCUUCCUCAUCCUAUGCUACCACCCCUGCAGGGAAAGAUAUGGCAGAUUGCAUUUUUGAUGAGCAAGGCUUUUGGGUCCCUUGUGAUGAGAUAGUGAAGAUGGAGAUAAGCCCGCAAUGGGCUAUAUAUAUGAGGGCAUGGAUAGGGCGAAGGAGGCCAUCAAAUUCAUCUAUGGAGGAGAUGAGAGCAAGUAUGGUCCCAUUUGGGAGAUCAUUGAUAGGAGAUGGCAUCAUCAGCUUCAUAGGCCCAUCCAUGCGGCAACCUUUUAUCUGAAUCUGACAUUCCGUUUUAUCCCUUCUUUCAAGGCUGAUGUGGAGGUCCUUAAUGGGCUAUAUGCAAUCAUGGAGAAGAUGGGACUUGCUGGUACUUCUCAGAUAGACCUUUUUCGAGAGCUAUAGUUGUUCUCAGAUGCACAAGGGGAGACCUUCUCUCGUCCUAUCGCCAAAGACAGUAGGACAACUAUGAUGGCAGAUCAUUGGUGGAGCUUUUUUGGCCUAGAGACACCAAAUAUUCAGAAGUUGGCCAUUCGCAUCUUGAGCCAACCAUGCAGCACAUCAGGUUGUGAGCGCAAUUGGAGUAUGUUUGAGCACAUACACUCCAAGAGGCGCAAUAGAUUAUUUGUGGAGAAGAUGAAUGAUCUCAUCUUUGUUCACUACAACCUCCGCUUGAGAAUGAGAAAGAAUGCAUUAGUUGACAUCUCUCCUAUCAUUCUAGAUGAGGUUGAUCUUGAAGCAGAGUGGGCCAAUGAGAAUCAGAUAGCUCCUGGGACUCCUACAGCUAUAUUUAGUGAUGAUGACAUUGAUUGGAUCGACCAGGUAGAUAUAGACGCUGAGGUUGUAGCCAUGGCAGAGGAGGAGCAGAGAGCACGAGUAGAGACAGGAAAUACUGAGACUCAGAGUGACACAGCUGUUCCUGAUGUUGGUGAGCAUGACACAACUGCUCCUGAUGUUGGUGAGCAUGGCAUGGUGUCACGGGGAGCGACUAUGGCUGCUGAAUCAUCCAGGACCUACUUUAAACGCCUUCGCAGGGGGCCAGGGCGAGAGAGUGCACGACCCUCUGAGCCAUAGGCUUGUACACUUGUAGUUGUAUUUAGUAUUUACUAUUUACCUUUGGUAUUUGUAUGAAACAUUUGAUGAUGAUCAUAUGAUGACAUGGUUUUUUUAUUCCAUUAGUUUUGUAAUAUUGUAUACAUUUGACAAUAUUUAUAUAUCUAUGUUUGUUA